rnacentral:rRNA from 1 species
UACGUAGGUGGCAAGCGUUGUCCGGAUUUACUGGGCGUAAAGAGCGCGCAGGCGGUCGUCCAAGUCGCGUGUGAAAGCCCCCGGCUCAACUGGGGAGGGUCACGCGAUACUGGUCGACUCGAAGGCAGGAGAGGGUAGUGGAAUUCCCGGUGUAGUGGUGAAAUGCGUAGAUAUUGGGAGGAACACCAGUGGCGAAAGCGGCUACCUGGCCCACUCUUGACGCUGAGGCGCGAAAGCUAGGGGAGCAAACGGG